GUGCCAGCCGCCGCGGUAAUACAGAGGCCCCAAGCGUUAGGCGGAAUCACUGGGCUUAAAGCGUGUGUAGGCGGGUCGUUAAGUACCUUGUGAAAUCCCACGGCUUAACCGUGGAACCGCUUGGUAUACUGGCGGUCUUGAGCCACUUAGGGGCUACCGGAACAGAUGGUGGAGCGGUGAAAUGCGUAGAUAUCAUCUGGAACGCCCAUGGUGAAAACAGGUAGCUGGGAGUGUGCUGACGCUGAGACACGAAAGCCAGGGGAGCGAACGGGAUUAGAUACCCGUGUAGUCC
rnacentral:rRNA from 1 species